GGAUUAGAUACCCUGGUAGUCCACGCCGUAAACGGUGGGCGCUAGGUGUGGGUUCCUUCCACGGGAUCUGUGCCGUAGCUAACGCAUUAAGCGCCCCGCCUGGGGAGUACGGCCGCAAGGCUAAAACUCAAAGGAAUUGACGGGGGCCCGCACAAGCGGCGGAGCAUGUGGAUUAAUUCGAUGCAACGCGAAGAACCUUACCUGGGUUUGACAUACACCGGAAAACCGUAGAGAUACGGUCCCCCUUGUGGUCGGUGUACAGGUGGUGCAUGGCUGUCGUCAGCUCGUGCUG
rnacentral:rRNA from 1 species